rnacentral:rRNA from 1 species
CGGACGGGUGAGUAACGCGUGGGAACGUGCCCUUCUCUGCGGAAUAGCCACUGGAAACGGUGAGUAAUACCGCAUACGCCCUUCGGGGGAAAGAUUUAUCGGAGAAGGAUCGGCCCGCGUUAGAUUAGGUAGUUGGUGGGGUAAUGGCCUACCAAGCCUACGAUCUAUAGCUGGUUUGAGAGGAUGAUCAGCCACACUGGGACUGAGACACGGCCCAGACUCCUACGGGAGGCAGCAGUGGGGAAUCUUAGACAAUGGGCGCAAGCCUGAUCUAGCCAUGCCGCGUGAGUGAUGAAGGCCUUAGGGUCGUAAAGCUCUUUCGCUGGGGAAGAUAAUGACUGUACCCAGUAAAGAAACCCCGGCUAACUCCGUGCCAGCAGCCGCGGUAAUACGGAGGGGGUUAGCGUUGUUCGGAAUUACUGGGCGUAAAGCGCGCGUAGGCGGAUCAGAAAGUUGGGGGUGAAAUCCCGGGGCUCAACCUCGGAACUGCCUCCAAAACUCCUGGUCUUGAGUUCGAGAGAGGUGAGUGGAAUUCCGAGUGUAGAGGUGAAAUUCGUAGAUAUUCGGAGGAACACCAGUGGCGAAGGCGGCUCACUGGCU